GAUUCUUAUUCUUAGUUUUCUACUGACUUAUAAGUCGUAUAAUUAAAAAGUCACGGAGUCGUAUUAGAACUAUUAGAUCUAGAAGUGAUCUAGCUAUAUCUACAUCUCUAGAUCUAUAUAAAAAUUAUAAGUAUAUAGUCAAUAUAGAAUCUACUUUAGAUUCUACUAGAUCUAGAUCUAUAAAUUAUAGAUAAGUUCUGCUAUUGAAUUAUUAUUUGAAUAUCAUCAUGUCAGACUCCUUGACCCAAAUAGAUCUAAGAAUGAUUCUAAAGAGACCAUUACACUGGAAAGAUGAUGAAAUUUUUAAUAAAUCAAAAAUUCAGAGACGAUUUCACAAAAAUGAGCAUUCUAAUAAUGGCUUAAAAACUGAAUUAUCUCCCACUUGUGGAUUUAGUCAUUCUCUUUUGAAUACUGACUACACACAGCCCUGUUUUAAUUCAGAUCCUUGCAUAGAUAUGAACAUAAAAGAUAUUCUUUAUGUUGAGAAACAAAUUCAUAAUAAAACUGUAAAUGGUAUUCUUUCAUCAUCUUCCUUUGAUUCUGUUGUACCGGUAUUGAAGAGUUCUCUACCAAGAUGCUCAGAGUGUGCUGCUGGCAAAUCUGGCCAUCUACAGCACAAAAAAUAAUUGAUUUACUUAAUUAUGAAUAGAAUCAUCUGGAGCAAGUAAGUUAUGUGAAGAUUCAUCACAGGCAGCUUAAGGGCUUUGCAACACAAGCAGUUGUUCAACAGAGCUCUAA